rnacentral:lncRNA from 1 species
GGUUUAGGGUUUAGAGUUUGGGUUUAGAAUUUAGGGUUUAGGUUUAGGGUUUAGAAUUUAAGAUUUAGGGUUUAGUUAGCGGUGUUGGCGUCAUUAAAAUAAGCGUCACUAUUUUUUUUCAAUUAGUUUAGAUUUUUUUAAAAAAAUAAUGUAUUUUAUUAUUAAUAUAUGUGAUAUUUUGAUUGGUAAUAAGAGGAGAGAUGAAUUUAAAGAUUUACCUAAGGGUGAACCUAAAGGUCUGAUUGGUAAUGGCUGUAGUUUUAAAAUUUUUGCUGUAGAAAAAAAUCUGUAAACUUUUUGCUGUGGCUUUAGAUUUU